GGGGUCGUAGUUCAGUUGGUUAGAACGCCGGCCUGUCAAGCCGGAGGUCGCGAGUUCAAGUCUCGUCGGCCCCGCCA
rnacentral:tRNA from 1 species